UGCUGACCGGGUGUCCGUGCUAAGUUCGGUAUCAGUAUGGUGACCUCCUGGGAGCAGGAGGCCAUCAGGUUGCCUAAGGACAGGAGAACUGGCCCAGGUCAGAAAGGGACCAGGUCAGGACUCCCACACCAAUCGGUAGUGGGACUGUGCCUGGGCAAUAUGGUAAGAUCUUGGUUCUUAAAAGUAAAAAUAAAGAACAGCUCAUUCCCCUCUGGGAAUGGGCUGAUUCAGGGUUACACAUGAGGGUGGGGGCAGAGGUGGGCCCCCAGUACUUCCCUUGUUGGGUUGUCUGAGGACCCCUCUGGCCACCCCCUAGAGGAUAUGGAGGAGGACAUCUGGACAGUGAGGAGGAGGAGGCGCCUCGGCCCAUGCUGAACAUCCCAGGGGACCUGGAGAGCCUGGAGGCCAGGUGGCAUUUUUCAAUGACGCGGGAGCCAGUGCCCAGGAAGAGCAAAGGGUGUGCUGCCAGCCCCUGGCUCACCCAGUGGCUUCAUCCCAAAGGACCCCAGGGACUGGGGGUGAGUCUGUGUGUGGGGAGACCCACCGAGCCCUGCAGGGGGCCAUGGAGAAGGUGCAGCUGAGUAGGUCCUGGCAUGGGCCAAGAACAGUGUGGGCGGGGCAAGGCAGGUGAUUCUUGAGAUGUGAUCCCAUUAUUUUGGCUCCAGAGUGACUUUAUGGAGGACAAAGUGGACCUGAAGGAGCCGGUGGAGUAACUAGAGCUUCGAUUCAUCCACCUCUCGGGACAGACACCAUAAGUGAGCGGGAGGCCAGGGUACGGCAGCGGGAGCUGCUGGGCUGUCAGAGGGCCCCAGCCUCUGAGCUCUGUCCUCCC
rnacentral:lncRNA from 1 species